AGUGAACGCUGGCGGUAGGCCUAACACAUGCAAGUCGAACGGCAGCACAGGAGAGCUUGCUCUCUGGGUGGCGAGUGGCGGACGGGUGAGGAAUACAUCGGAAUCUACUCUGUCGUGGGGGAUAACGUAGGGAAACUUACGCUAAUACCGCAUACGACCUACGGGUGAAAGCAGGGGAUCUUCGGACCUUGCGCGAUUGAAUGAGCCGAUGUCGGAUUAGCUAGUUGGCGGGGUAAAGGCCCACCAAGGCGACGAUCCGUAGCUGGUCUGAGAGUAUGAGCAGCCACACUGGAACUGAGACACGGUCCAUACUCCUACGGGAGGCAGAAGUGGGGAAUAUUGGACAAUGGGCGCAAGCCUGAUCCAGCCGUACCGCGUGGGUGAAGAAGGCGUUCGGGUUGUAAAGCCCUUUUGCUGGGAAAGAAAUCCAGCUGGCUAAUACCCGGUUGGGAUGACGGUACCCAAAGAAUAAGCACCGGCUAACUUCGUGCCAGCCGCCGCCGUAA
rnacentral:rRNA from 1 species